rnacentral:rRNA from 1 species
GAUGAACGCUGGCGGCGUGCUUAACACAUGCAAGUCGAACGGUGAAGCAGGAGCUUGCUCCUGCGGAUCAGUGGCGAACGGGUGAGUAACACGUGAGCAAUCUGCCCUGGACUCUGGGAUAAGCGGUGGAAACGACGUCUAAUACCGGCUACGAGACGCGAAGGCAUCUUCAGCGUCUGGAAAGAACUUCGGUCCAGGAUGAGCUCGCGGCCUAUCAGGUAGUUGGUGAGGUAAUGGCUCACCAAGCCUACGACGGGUAGCCGGCCUGAGAGGGUGACCGGCCACACUGGGACUGAGACACGGCCCAUACACCUACGGGUGGCAGCAACAGGGAAUCGUACGCAAUGGACGAAAGUCUGACGUCGCAAUGCCGCGUGGAGGAUGAAGGCCCUCGGGUUGUAAACUCCUUUUACAGUAAUUGAGAAGUUAUUGAGAAUAAGCACCUGCUAACUCUGUGCCAGCCGCCGCGGUAAAAC